rnacentral:lncRNA from 1 species
AGGCAAGUGGAAUGACAAGAGAAGACACUUUCCUUCUCAACUUGGUCAGAAGAGAACUCAAAUCGCACCCUUUGAGUUCCAGCUUGUUGGACCAGCUUCAGGAAGAGCUGAAGGCCCUGGACCCUAUCUCUUCAGGAUUCCUUCUCCCAUCUCAGCUGAUCCAUCUUCUCCUGAGGCAGGAUGUCCCUCUGCAGUUGCCCACAGUCCAACUCCUUUGCCAGAGGUUCUCUAGAAGUGGCUCUCCCAAAAUGGUGAAUUAUGAAAAACUACUCUGGCUUUUACACAGUGCAGCUUCUGAUGAUUUGCAGCAAAGUAGUGCAGUUGCAGACAGCAACAGGAGGGAAGCUCAGGGUCUGAGUGAUCUUAGCCAAAGGUAUUGUCUCUUUUUUGUGGGCAUAUUGUUCCAGAUGUCCAAGCAGACAGGCUACCAGAAUAAAGUGCCACAGCCCAGCUGGCUCUAAAUGACACACAUCUACUUCUCAAAGGCUGGAAACUGAAAAUCCAAGGCAAGGACCUAGCUUGGCAGAGUGGGCGAGAGCCAUCUCCUGGUUGCAGAUGCCAACUCCAAGACCCUAUGCGGUGGAGCUGGCAGGGUUCUGAGGGUGUCACACUAAUGUCUCGCUUGUUGCAGAGAGUAUGGCUUUGCUCUCCACCAACCAGGCUUAUGCUGAUGGGAGUCUCAGUCUCUCCCCUCCUCCCCAGUGUAGAAAGUUAUUUGCAGCAGUGGCAUUUGUUUCUUAAUAGCUAGCAUAUGUGUUUUAAUGAAGUUGUGUGAAAAUGAAAAUCCUUCUUACGAACAAAGAAUGGAUUGUGUGAGUACAGAGCUCAUCCACACAGUGCGAGACCAGAAUAGGCUCAGUCAGUGAAGCCCUGAGUUACAGGCAAAAGCAAAAGUUCUGAGGUACAGAACCCAACAAUCCAAUCCUUUCACAUACUAUCAAGAGAAAGACAUAACUGAAAAUAAAAAUAAGAUUUGAGAAAUACAGUUAGAGAUAAAGCAAAGUGGACUCUUCUCCGCAUUCCCCAAGAAAGUGACACAGCACGGCAGUUAGGAGCACGGGUUCUACCGCUAGGCACUGGCUGGCUCCUGUCUCUGCCUCGGAUGGCUGUGGGACCUAGUGGUCACUUAGCGCCUUUCCUAUCUCCCACCGCAAUGGCCACUGCUGCAGCCUCAGGCUCACCUUACAGGGCUGCAGCCACUGAAAGGAACUUGACCCAGGUGGGUGGAGGUGGAGAAGGGUCACAGGCCCCCUUGUCCCUUGGGGGAAGUGACAUGGAGCUGAGUGUAGAGCAGGAAAAGCUUCACAGAGGAGCCGGUGUUGGAGCUGCAGCGGGAGGGACAAACAGAUUCAAAUGUUAAAGGAGUAAACAUCUGAAAUCAGUUUCAUGAAAUAAAGGACUGCAACAUUUUAUCAUCCUGUUGCUUUUCAUCUAUUAGAUAAAAUAACGCUCCUCAGUUAGAUGAACUGUCUUACUACAGAUAUUCCUAGUUUAAUAGCCUACUUGUUUAAAGACUGUUCAGACUUAGGAUGGAGGAGCUCUGUUCAGACUUAAGGAUACACUGCUUGGGCUUGAAACCCGACACUCAGACUUACAGCCCCUACUGUUUGGUACACUUCUGUUCAUCUUGUGGUGGAGCUUCAAUGUCCUUUUUUGUUCAGUACACCUUAUUUAUGCAGUACUGUACUUUUUGCUGAUUGUACUGUACAGUAUAGUAAAGUAGUUUUUGAUGUUUUGUCGUACAUUUCAGUGCUGCAUAUAAGAGUUAUGCAAUUAAAAGCAAAGUCGUCAAGUUGGAGUUUCCUUUGGCCAG